UUUCUUAUUUCCCAUGCUGUUAACUUUCUUUCUCUAUUCCGUUCAUCAUCAAUUCUUCACCAUCAUCAUCAAUCGCCCAAUUCAACACUUAUUCUCAGAAUCUUCAUCUUAGGCUGGCUUCCAAAUAUGAAUGAUAUUUUCUACAUUCAUGGUAGUUUGCUGAGAAGAUUUCAUCUAUUUAUCUAAUCUUCAUCGAAUUCGGCAACACCUUGAAUGUGGCAGCAUUGAUGUUCCAAUCGCAGCUUUAUGUGAGUCUCUCUUACUCUUCUUCCUUUUUUCCUCUGGCAACUUAUUAUUGUGUUGCGUGUGAGGUGUUUGAUAAUUUGACUCAAUGAAAUUUUACUCUAUUAUUUUGCAAUUGUGUGCUUAUCCAGGAAUUAGGUGGAUGAACUGUUAUUUCCGUAUUAGACGAUGCCACUGCCGUGUGAGUAUCUCCCAACAAAUUUGUUUAAAUUUCAAAAUGAUCCUUUAAAUUGAAAAUCUUCGUUCACGUAUGUGAUAUUUUGAACUCUCCACCGAUGCAAAGUGAGUCUGAAGGUAAAUAUUAUUGUCCCCCUUGUUUCCAUUAUGUCUGUAUGUUAUCUACAUCAAUAGGUAUGUACACACUGAAUAUAUAUAUACAGAAAAAUAAUUUUUGCUGCACCAACGGUAGAUAAAAGUGAAAUACUGGCUCUUGUAGGCGAUAAGAUGGAUUCUUUGAUCCUUUAUAAUCUAUGAUUAAAUGGUUGCGUUAUUGAUGAGUCAUAAUUAUGCAUUUCGCAUUGAACUUAGGAAUAAAACGAUUAAUUCUUAAAUCAAGUAGAACUUCUCUUUCAUGAAUGUUGUGUUCAAUAAUCGGUGAUUAGCUAUUUGAAAGUCAUCACUGCAUUUGUUGGUAUCAUAUGAAGUUGUCCAUGAUGGUGAUUAUGAUCUGUUCAAUUUUAGGGCUCAUUCUAUUUCUAUGCAUCCUGAUAACUUAUAUGGGCAUAUGCAGAAUUACUGAAGUGUCCACGAAAAUAGAACCAGUGCAGGAGAAAAAAUAAAGAGCUUAGCACAAAUAGGAUUUUUGAAGUUAUUUAGUGGUUGCCUUAUCGCAUUUGAAGGUUUGCAGGUUAUUUCUUUGUUUACCCUUUGAAUCUCUUUGAUAUUGCUGAAUAAUAACUGUAGUCUCUUAGAUAGAUCUACUCAAUAGAUAAAACUUGGACAAAGUAAAGUAUAUGCAAAAUCAGAACUCUACCAAAUCCACCAACUUCCAAUAGCCCCUUUUCCAUGAAACCCUUUGUAGCAAAGUAUAGAUCUUUGAACUUAAAUCUAUGAGGGCCAUAUUCAUGUUCCCAAUCUUCAAGAAUCUCAGCAAACAUCUUCCGUUUGAUAUAAUAUAUAACCCUAAAGUUAUCAUGAAUAGCGAACUAAGCAAAAUCAAAGGCAACCCAACAGUUAAAAAUUUAGACUUUUUUUUUUCUCAUCAAAUAUACUUAGCUCAGGAGCAAAUAUUCUUGGCUCAGGAAGUUCAGAGAUUUCAAGGUUUUGAGCUUGGCUAUUAACCUUAAAACUCCAACCAAGAAUAUAAUGAGAAGCUACAAUUAACCCUGUUGAAGAUGAGAAUCCAACAUACAUUCUAUUGUUGAGUAUUGGAGAAAGAUCUUUGGUCAAUGAUAACAAAGGUUGUGUUGGUUUAUCACUAAAACCAACACUAAUUGGAGCUAAAGUAACAUCAUAAUAUCCAUACCUGCAUAUCCACUGGAAAGGGAUAAAUUCCUGAAUCCAUAAUCAUCAUAAUAUCCUGCAGGAGUUGAAUUAGCUGAUUUCAAAUCAUUGAUAUCAAUACCAAUAUGGUUAUCAUUGAUUUCAUCAAACUCAAAAUUUUGAUCAGUGUCAAGCUCAAUACCAAAAACAUGGCUGCUACUGUUUCCAUUGUUGGAAUUGUUAGAGACCAAGGUAUUAAUAUUGUAGUGAAUUUGGUAGCCCUUUUGUAGGUGAAAUAACAAAAACAAUUCCAUGGCCACUAUGAGUUGGAUAUUAAGAUUUUAUAGCAAAUAAAGAAUUAGUUGAGAAAGAAGACACACUUUCACUGAGUGUUUUUGAAAACUAUAGGAUUUGGAUAGAAAGCAUUGCCAUCAAGAUAUAAAUGUGAUGAUUGGAAUCCACUUUAUUUAUAGAUAAAGCAACAUGAACACAAGUCUGAGGAACAUGAUUAUAGUUUGAGAAUGAAUCAUGCUUCUGUAGUUCUGUUCGAGUGUUCGGUGUUUAUUAUUUAUAAGAUUUUGUGCUAAGUGAAGGAAAAAUUGCAUGUCUAAUUCGGGUCCUACUAAGAAAUUUCCUAGAACCUAGCUACGAAUUAUUACUAAAAGAAACAUCACAUGGUUACUAAAAUUGCCUUAUCAUCUGGGUCCUACUAAGAAAUGUCUCAUUUAGUUUAGUGAAGAGAAUGUGUUAUACAUUUGAAUCACAAUUUUUUUUUAUUUUUUUUCCAACAGUAGUAGUGGGUGAAUGUUUUUUUAACAUUUACAUAUUAAGUGUUUGAUGCUAAAUUGAAUAUGUGAAAUUUAAUUAUCAAUGUGUUCUAAUUUCUUAGAAUAAGUAGUGUUUUUUUUUAAUCCUGAAUGUGUGGACUUGACCAGUUACUAUUGAUUAUUGAUUAUGCUUCAAAUCAAAUGAUGAAUGAAUAUGUGGUGGAAAGAUAAAAAGAUAUAUGUUGGUUUGACUCAAUUUCAUACUCACUCCGUCUCUAAAUAUAAGACUCCUCUACAAAUUACUAAAUACAUUUAUUGCUCUUUUUUUUCCAAUAUACUAUCAAUUUAUCUAAGAAUAUGAAAAUUAACUUUGAAUGCACUUUUAUAAAAAGGGUAAUUUAGAAAUAGUAACACACAUUUCAGACAAAUUUAUUACUCGAAAGACUUUUUUUAGUACCCGUGAUUUUUGUAAAGUGUUCUUCUAAAAAAGGAUGGAGGGAAAAUUUUUCUUCAUGCAAAAAUCAUGGUGAAAUUUCGAGCCACAUGUUCCAUCGGUCACAUGUGUUGGCAAAUUGCAGGGAGAUGGAGGCAAAUCACCGGGUAAUUUACUCGUGAUUGACAGCUAUAAAAUACAAUUUUAGACCUGGUUGUUUUGCAAUCUUUCUACUCUAAAGGAGUUAAGGAACUAAUAGGGUGAGGGUUGAGUGUUUUGCAUGAUAUUCUUAUGUUGGAAAACAUCAUGAGAUCUCAUUAGAGUAAAUAUCAAACUCUUUUUCUAGUUUUCUCCUUAGAUCUCAAUUUAGGUUUUAGUGACUUGAAAAAUGGAUAGAAAUUAGAGAUUGUUCUUAUUGUCUACAAGAAUGGUAAAGGUAUUCUUUACCUAGGGCUUUGGUCAAUUUACUCUCAAAUUGUUUCAAACAAACUAAUUUGGCUGAAAUUUUUUUAAUUUCAGGGAUCAUUUUAGAAGUAUGAGUAAUUUGGUUGAAAUUCUUUUAAUUUCAGGGAGAUGAAUGGAAAAUUGAAAUUUAUCACAGCAUUCGUUGGUAAAGUAUGAAGUCGUCCAUGAUAGUGAUUAUGAUGUGUUCAAUUUUAGGGCUCAUUCUAUACAUCCCGUUAACUUAAUCUUAUAUGUGCAUAUGCAGAACUACUGAAGUGUUGAAGAAAAUCGAACGAGUAAAGGAGAAAAGAUGAAGAGCUUGUUUGAGUCUUUAGAACAAAUAUAAUUUCUGAAGUUAUUUAGUGGUUGCCUUAUUGCAUUUGAGGUUUUGCAGGUUAUUUCUUAGUUUACCCUUUGAAUCUCUGUGAUAUUACUGAACAAUAAUUGUAGUCUCUCGUUUACUCAAAAUAGAUACAAACUUGGACGCAAUGAAGUAUAUACAAAAUCAAAACAAAAAAAGUUUAAUGAGAAAAUGAUUUUAUGUAACUAUUAAACCAUUUACUCAAACAUGAUUUCACUUUUUAGAUAACAAACUCUCUUUAAUCCUUUUUACCAAAAUUUAAUACAUUACAAAAUCAAAAUGCACCAAUUAAGCAUCAAUUAGACGUGUCUUUUGAAAUCAACGACCACCCGAGAGAACAGAUUCAGCAAUUAACGCUGAAGUAUAUGGCAUUCUCCUGUCCUCAACAAAUAAUUGGUACCCAAAAGUUAAACCAGAAGAAGAUAAACUAAGCGAAGAAAAAUCUGGCAAAGGUGUAUCCCUCUCCAAAUACUGUACAACUUGUCUCAUACUUGGUCUAGCCAAAGGCUCUGAAUGUGAACACAACAAGCCAAGUUUCAACACCAAUUCCACCUCUUCAGACACAUAAUUUGUUCCUAAAUGAACAUCUUUUGCCUCAAGAAUCUCACCUCUUUGCCAACAUUCAAACACAGAAUCAACUAGAAUUAGACUCUCAUUGUCUCCUACACGACCUAUAGGCCUCCUACCACAAACAACCUCAAGAAGAAAUGCACCAAAAGAAAACACAUCAGAAAAUUUAGUAGCCUUACCUCUUCUAAUAUGUUCAGGAGCAAGAUAACCAAUAGUUCCAGCCAAAUGAGUUGUGUGAGGAUCAGCACCAUGAUCAUGCAACCUUGAAAGACCAAAAUCUCCCAAUCUAGCAUUAAAUCCAGAAUCUAACAACACAUUACUAGCCUUUAUGUCUCUAUGAAUAACAACUUUCUCCCAUUCUUCAUGAAGAUAAACCACACCUGAAGCAACACCUUUGAUGAUUCUAAAUCUUUGACUCCAAUUCAACCUCACUUUUGGUUGGUUAUAUAGAUAGUUGUCUAAACUUCCAUUCGGCAUGUAAUCAUAAACCAAAAGUAACUCGCUUUUUCGCCUGCAAUAGCCAUGAAGUUGAACAAGAUUCCUGUGCCGAAGACGACCGAUACUAACAAUUUCCGACACAAAUUCCCUCAUCCCUUGUCUUGAUUCAUGAGACACCCUUUUCACAGCAACCUCAAGUUUGGAACUUUGUAUCACACCUUUGUAGACUCUACCAAAUCCACCAACUCCCAAUAGCCCCUUUUCCCUGAAACCCUUUGUGGCUGAGUAUAGAUCUUUGAACUUAAAUCUACGUGGGCCAUAUUCAUGUUCCCAAUCUUCAAGAACCUCAUCAAACUUCUUCAAUUUGACAUAAUACAUAACCCCUAAAGUUAUCAUGAAUACCAAACUUAGGAAAAUCAAUGGCAAUCCAACAGUUAAAAAUUUCGACUUUUUUUUCUCUGCAGGUAGUUUAGGAAGUUCAGAGAUUUCAAGGUUUUGAGCUUGACCAUUAACCUUAAAACUCCAACCAAGAAUAUACUGAGAAGCUACCAUUAACCCUGUUGAAGAUGAGAAUCCAACAUACAUUCUAUUGUUGAGAAUUGAAGAAAGAUCUUUGGUCAAUGAUAACAAAGGUUGUGUUGGUUUAUUACUAGCACCAACACUCAUUGGUGCUAAAGUAACAUCAAUCUUUUUCUUCACUCCAUCAUAUUCAAUCCAUACCUGCAUAGGGUAUCCACUGGAAAGGGAUAAAUCCUUGAAUUGACCAUAACCAUCAUAAUAUCCUGCAGGAGUUGAAUCAGCUGAUUUCAAAUCAUUGAUAUCAAUUCCAACAUGGUUAUCGUUGAUAUCAUCAAACUCAAAAUUUUGACGAGUGUCAAGCUCAACACCAAAAACAUGGUUGCUACUGUUUCCACUGUUGGAAUCGUUAAAGAGACCAAGGUAUUGACUUGGUAGUGAAUCUGGUAGCCCUUUUGUUGGAGAAAUAACAAAAACAAUUCCAUGGCCACCAAUAUUUGCAUAUUGAGGUAUUAUGGCAAAUAAAAAAGUAGUUGAGAAAGAAGACACGCUUUCACUGGAAGUGUUUUUGAAAACUAUUGGAUUUGGAUAGAAACCAUGUCCUUUGUCUCUUUCUGUAUCAUUGGUGAGUUUUAGUAAGCCAUUUGUAGUUAACUCAGCAAUACCAUCAAGAUAUAAAUGUGAUGAUUGGAAUCCAUUAUAUAUGAAACUGUUGUCUUCACUUGCAACCAAUGUAACAUGAAAAAACAACAUGAACACAUGUCUGAGGAACAUGAUUAUAGGUUGUGAAUAAUAAUGCUUAUACAGUUCGGUUCAUUGUUUCUUAUUUAUUAUUUUUUAUUUAUAAUAUUUUGUCCUAUUGCUAGUCUCAUUUGGGACCUACUAAUAAGUGUCCCUUUACCUAACUUAGCUACGUAUUAUCACCAAAAGAAACAUCAAAUCAAAUGGUUACUAAAAUUGCGUAUCUCAUUUGAGUCAAUUUAAGUGGUGGAAGGAUGGAUAAAGAUAAUGUUGGUUUUGACUAAAAUGACUGGGGCAGUUUUUAAAGGAGAUAAUUUUUAGGAAACUUGGAAGUUAAGAGUUGAGUUGGAAAGAUUCUUUCUUCCUCUAACAUAGGUCAUUUUGGGCCGAAUUAGGUAAACAAUUUGAAAAUCGCUCUUUAAGCUUGAAAAAUUGUUCUCUUGCACCUUAAAAUUUCAUUAAUACCCCCAACAGCAAUGAAUUAUCGUCGCUACCCAGCAGCAGUUAAUUGUCGUUCGGUCUUUUUGCAACCACAAUUGUGUUCAACUGCAGUUGCGUUCGAGACUUAUUCUAGAACAGUAACAACACGUGUUCUGGAUUUAUUUUAUAAAAGCAAAAAUAGUUAUCACUUUUGUUUGAAACACAAAACUCCAAUCUCACUCAAAUGAAUCUCAUCCAAUUUCUUUCAUCAAAAUCAAAAGUUAUCAACUAUUCUACAAGUAAGUGUUAAUAAUCUCUUCUAUUCACAUUGUUAGUUUUAUAUAAUUUUUUUUCCUUCAAAAUUUGGUGGAAAUGUUAGUGUUUAUGAUUGGAUAAAUUAUUGAUAUUUUGGGUAGUCUGUGAUCCUAUAUAUGCAUGUUUUGACUAUAAAUGUUGUUUAAACUAAAUUUAAGUUCAAUGUUGUAGUUUAAAAGUUGAAAUAACACAAUGAAUAAAUGUUGUAUAUUUUGUACUACAAGCGUUUGAUGAAAUGCUUGAAUGAGUUUUUCAUUGAUAUUUUUAUUGUCUUUUGUUGUGUAGAUAUGACUGAGAACCUACAUAUGCGUAAAGAGACCAUGACAAGCAGUUCCCGCAAGGAGAGAGUGACAGUGAACCCUACUAAAAUCUGCAUUUCCAACGAUGUACGUCACAAACUGCCAAUGCAUUUAACCAAAUUUUUAGCAUUCUUUCUAUUUAAUUAGUUUUUCUUAUACUUUGUCUAUUUGAUCUUUUUAUCAAUUUUAAUUAUUCAGAUAUAGAUUGUUUCUUUCUACAUCUGCUGCACAAUUCACAAAUCAUGAUUUUGAUGAUGUGAUCAUCAAGGUUGGCUAGGAUAAGAAGAUUUUUGCAUCUAGUAUAUAUCUUUGAAAUGGAGAUAACUUGAUUUCCUUUCCUUACAGUAUUUUUUUAUUUUUUUAAAUCAAGGAGUAACCUUUGCGCAAAUCCUUGACGAAUCCCACGGGGUAACUGAGAUCCAAUAAUCAACGAAUGAGCUAUUUUUUAUACACAUAGUCCAGGUACCCUAAAACAAAUGUUUAAGAGACUCAAAUAUCUACCACAGUACCAGUUAUGCCACAUAUAUUGGAUGUUUCUUUAGAAUGGAUGAUUUGUAUAGAAAAGCCGACUGCAAAGGAAAAUUCAAAUAAAAACUCGUGAAUUAAUAUGUUGAAGUGUGAUUUAACAAUAAAAAAUUUAUAAGCAAAGUAAAUUAAAUAAAAUGCCUAAAAAUCCAUCUAUUCCAAUCAACUAAAUACCUUUCUGCAAAUGUAAAAAUAAUUCAAAGCAGCUACGCAACGCGCAGGUCAAAAUCUAGUUAAUCACAUAAUGUCCAUGUAUUAUGUAUAUGUACACAUAAAUCAGUGUUUUAUACCAGUGCAUUGUGGCCGGUUUACAGAUUUCAGUUUGCAGAGUGUUAUAUAGCCAGUGCUGUCAAAUUUAGAGGCGCUAUAGUGCUGCCGAAUAGAAGAAUUUGACCAAAUUGCUAUUGUUCCGUAAUAAAGCCCUUUUGUACAAAAUGUUGUCAUUAAUAAUGGCUAUAGAAGCACUAUAGUACCGUACCAUAGUAGAAUUUGAACAAACCGCUAUGCUGCAACAUUCAACACUGGUUAUAUAGUCACUGGUCAGUUAUGGUAUUUCCGGCUCGUAUUGACAUUUUUUGGCACCCCCACUGGUUGUUAGCAUUUUCGACUACUCAGCCUCAACCACACACAUUCUUCUUCUUCUUAAUCCUUUGUAUACUCAUUUGUUCAUACUUCUCUUUGCAACUUGUCUUUUUCUUUAACCCUACAUUCUUGCUCUGCAGCAACUCAAUCCCCCAUUGUUCUGUUUUUCUAUACUAGGUUGUUAAUUAUGAAUGUCUGUAAUUUUGUGUAACUUUUUUUUAUUUCUUUGAAAAUUUAUUUACAUAAAGCAUAAAAUAUUUAUGUUGGAUAUAUAAUCUUUGGUAUAGAGUUAUAUCAUCAUCUACUAUCUCUCAGUAGCGUUCGUGGGAUCUAUUACAUGUAUCAAAUGACUGCAUAAUAUUUACCAUGGGCUACAUCUAUGAAUAUAAAUUAAAACUCACGUACCUACCUAUUAGGAGAAAGAGACUACAUUAAAACAUAAACACUACAUAAAACUCGUGUAUCUAUUACACUAUUAACUCAAAUAUGAUUUUACAUUUGAUUUAACAAACUCUCCUUAAUCCAUUUUACCAAAAUCUAACGACAACCAGAGAGAAUUGAGUCGGCAAUAGACACAGAAGUCUGUGACAUUGUGUUGCCCAUAGAGGAAGGAUAAGACAAAGGAAAGUCCUCAAAAAAUUCUUGGUACCCAAAAGUUAAUCCAGAAGAAGAUAAACUAAGCAAAGACAAAUCUGGCAAAGGUAUAUCCCUCUCCAAAUACUGCACAACUUGUCUCAUACAUGGUCUAGCCAAAGGUUCUGAAUGUGAACACAACAAUCCAAGUUUCAACACCAACUCCACCUCUUCAGACACAAAGUUUGUCCCCAAAUUUACAUCUUUUGCCUCAAGAAUAUCACCUCUUUUCCAACACUCAAAUACACAAUCAACCAAAAUUACACUUUCAUUUUCCCCAACAUUAGAAAUAGGCCUUCUACCACAAGCAACCUCAAGAAGAAAUGCACCAAAAGAAAACACAUCAGAAAAUUUAGUAGCCUUACCUGUUCUAAUAUGUUCCGGAGCAAGAUAACCAAUAGUUCCAGCCAAAUGAGUCGUGUGAUGAUCUGCACCAUGGUCAUACAACCUUGAAAGACCAAAAUCUCCCAAUCUAGCAUUAAAUUCAGAAUCUAACAACACAUUACUAGCUUUUAUGUCUCUAUGAAUUACAACUUUCUCCCAUUCUUCAUGAAGAUAAACCACGCCUGAAGCAACACCUUUGAUGAUUCUAAAUCUUUGACUCCAAUUCAACCUCACUUUUGGUUGGUUGUAUAAAUAUUUGUCUAAACUUCCAUUCGGCAUGUAAUCAUAAACCAAAAGUAACUCGCUUUUUCGCCUGCAAUAGCCAUGAAGUUGAACAAGAUUCCUCUGCCGAAGACGACCGAUACUAACAAUUUCCGACACAAAUUCCCUCAUCCCUUGUCUUGAUUCAUGAGACACCCUUUUCACAGCAACCUCAAGUUUGGAACUUGGUAACACACCUUUGUAGACUCUACCAAAUCCACCAACUCCCAGUAGCCCCUUUUCCCUGAAACCCUUUGUGGCAAAGUACAAAUCUUUGAACUUAAAUCUAUGUGGGCCAUAUUCUUGUUCCCAAUCUUCAAGAAUCUCAGCAAACUUCUUCCGUCUGAUAUAAUACAUAACCCCUAAAGUUAUCAUGAAUAUCAAACUUAUCAAAAUUAAAGGCAACCCAACAGUUAAAAAAUUUGAUUUCGUUUUCUCAGCUAAUACUGGUAACUCAGGAAGUUCAGAGAUUACAAGGUUUUGAGCUUGACCAUUAAUCUUAAAACUCCAACCAAGAAUAUAAUGAGAAGUUAGAAAUGAACCAGUAGCUGAUGAAAAUCCAACAUACAUACUAUUGUUAAGAAUUGGAGAAAGAUCUUUGGUCAAUGAUAACAAAGGUUGUUUUGGUUUAACAACAUUAAUUGGAGCUAAAGUAACAUCAAUCUUUUUCUUUUCACCAUCAUAUUCAAUCCAUACCUGCAUAGGAUAGCCACUGAUAAGGCUUAUAUUCUUGAAUUGACCAUUACCAUCAUAAUAUCCUGCAGGAGUUGAAUUAGCUGAUUUCAAAUCAUUGAUAUCAAUACCAACAUGGUUAUCAUUGAUAUCAUCAAACUCACGAUUUUCAAUAGUAUCAAGUUCAACACCAAAAACGUGGUUGCUAGGAUUUCCAUUGUUGGAAUCGUCAAAGAGACCAAGGUAUGAACCUUGGAGUGAAUUUGGUAGCCCUUUUGUAGGAGAAAGAACAAAAACAAUUCCAUGGCCACUAUAAGUUGGACCUUGAUGUCUUAUGGCAAAUACAAAAGUAGUUGAGAAUGAAGAAACACUUCCAUUGGAAGUGUUCUUCAAAACUAUAGGGUUUGGAUAGAAAGCAUGUGCUUUUUCUUGUUUGGUGUCAUUGGUGAGUCUUAGUAAGCCAUUGGAGGUUAAAUUAGCAAUACCAUCAAGAUACAAAUGAGAUGAUUGGAAAUCAUUAUAGAUGAAACUUUUGUCUUCACUUGGUACCAAUGUAACAAGAAAAAACAACAUAAACACAAGCCUGAGGAACAUGAUUAUAGUUUGUGAAUAAUAAUGCUUAUACAGUUCUGUUCAGUGUUUAUUAUUUAUUAUUUAUUAUGUAUAAGAUUUUGUCCUAGGUGAAGAAAAAAUUGCAAGUCUAAUUUGGGUCCUACUAAGAAAUGUCUUGGAACCUAACUUAGCUAUGAAUUAUCACCAAAAGAAACAUCAAAUGGUUACUAAAAUCGCGUAUCUCAUUUGGGUCCUACUAAGAAAUGUCUCAUUUAGUUUAGUAAAAAUGAACUCAUUUGGGACCAUUUGAAUAGUUGUGCACAUUUGAACUACCAAUUUUUUUCCCAACUGCACAUUUUCAAUGUUUACGUAUUGAGUGUUUGAUGCUAAAUUGAAUAUGUGAAAUUAAAACAUCAAUGUCGUCUAAUUUCUUCAAAUAAGCAUAGUUUUUUUUUUUAAGUUCACACUUGAAUGUGUGGAUUUGACCGAUUACUAUUGAUUAUCUAUGAUUUGCUUGGCUGCUAAGAAAAUGAUGAAUGAAUAAGUGGUGGAGGAUGCAUAAAGAUACCGUUGGUUUUGAAUCAAAAUUUCAUAUUUUUCUUCAUGGAAAAAUCGUAGGCCAAUUAAAGUCAGCCUGUUUCAUUGGUCAUAUGUGCUGGCAAGUUGCAGGGAGAUGGAGGUAAAUCACGAGGCAAUUUACUCAGGAUUGACAACUAUAAAAUUCAGUUUUUGACAUAUUUGUCGAGCAAUCUUUCUACUCUAAAUCAGAGAAUUUUUAAGGAAUUUAGAGGUUCAGAGUAACCUUAAAAAGUAACUUAAUAACAUAACUUUGUUCUCCAAAAACUUUACUGUCUUUUCAAUUUUCUGGUUCUUCUUCAUUUCUUGUCCACCACUUUAUCAUAGCUUCUGUUUUUCACAUAUGCCCACACGACCUAAAAUGAGCUUACCAUUUUUUCUACAAUGGAGCCAUCUCAACUUUUUCUCUGCUGUUUAUUUAAUUUAUUUAAUUCAGGGUUAAAAACCAUGUAAUGGACUAAUUUUAAAACCUAACUUUCUUUUUUAGGUGCUGCACUGUCUGUAAAGAGAAGUGACAUAUUGGCUCUUGCUAUAGGUAUGAUGGACUCUUUGAUCCUCUACAAUCAAUGAUUGGUUUAUUGUGUCAUUCACGGGUGAUAAUUCUGGAUGUCACAAUGAAUGUUGGGAUAAAAUGGUUUGUUUAAAUCGAGUAAAACUUCUGUUUCAUGAAUGGUGUGUUCAUCAACUGGUAACAAUUAUAGCAACUAUAGAAGAAAGGCUUAAGUGGGGUGUGGGUUUUCCUACUAUAGGUGUUUCAAUUGUUUUACAUGCACUGAGGCAUUCUUUAGAAUCAAGUGCAUUUCAGAUAUGGCUCAAUAAAUGUUAUAUUUGAUUUAGACUGAAUCACCAUUUAAGUCUAUAAAUUACAGGGGUUGAAAUUUUUAAUGUUAGUCCUUUUGGGUCGGUCAAUAUAGUCCUUGAAAUUGUCUUGAAGAUACUAAAGUGAUUGAAAAUUUUCAAUUUCAAUGAUCAUUUUAGAAUAUGUUAAUUUUAGGGGCUAGAUUGCAUGAUGUCGUGACCAAUACUAUUAUAAGACUGAAAUAGGUUAUUCGCUCUUUCGUUUUAUGUUAUUUGAUGUGUCUAUGCUAGGUGGUGCUUACCUAAAGAUUCUUGAUGGCUACAUUAGUUCAUAUGUUGUUGCUAUCUGAUGAAUGGAAAAUUUAAAUUUGUUGGUCGAGGGUUGAGUACCUCGAUUGGUUUGAGCUAAGGGUUAAGAAGUUGGAGGUCGUCUGUUCAAAUUUUGGUAAUGUCGACAUUGUCCAUGACAGUGAUUAUAAUUAUGAUGUGUUGUUCAAUUUUAAUAUUUAAGGCUCAUUCUACGCAUGCUGAUAACUUAAUCCUGCCAAGCCCUGUAUAUUAACAUUGAUUAGUUGCUCAAUAUUACAGGUGGAUAUCUAAGCUGUAUUUCGAUGAUAUUCUAGAAAAUACAGAAGCAAAUAUAUGUCUUGUUAUCGAUGCUCGUAUUUGGAGGAUUCUAUAAAUUGAGCCAUCUUCUGCUGCUAGUUCAGGUUGAAGUUGAACUAGUGAUAAAUGAUAAAAAUAAACUAAUGUUGUGCAAAAUUAGUUCAGUGUUGCUUGUAGCUAAAAUGUUAUGCUGCCAUGC
rnacentral:lncRNA from 1 species